rnacentral:rRNA from 1 species
UUUAUGGAGAGUUUGAUCCUGGCUCAGGAUGAACGCUGGCGGCGUGCCUAAUACAUGCAAGUCGAGCGAACAGAUGAGAAGCUUGCUUCUCUGAUGUUAGCGGCGGACGGGUGAGUAACACGUGGGUAACCUACCUAUAAGACUGGGAUAACUCCGGGAAACCGGGGCUAAUACCGGAUAAUAUUUUGAACCGCAUGGUUCAAUAGUGAAAGACGGUUUCGGCUGUCACUUAUAGAUGGACCCGCGCCGUAUUAGCUAGUU